AGCAACGCCUGAGGGAGGCUGUUGGCCGGAGGCGCGAGUGUGUGCGGACUGAGCUCCGGAAGUCGUAGGCGGCUGGUCAGGUGCUGCCAGCUGACUGCAGGGGCGGCUGACAGGCCGCCCCGGAACAGCUCCCCGCGGAAAGGGCUCUCGGUUAGGCUGGGAUCUCAUCCUAUCAGAACAGUUUUAUCGGUUCUUGUUCACCGGCUGUGGUGCUGAGGAAACUCUGAUUCAAAUGUGAUGCAUCUCCUGAUUUAAUGAAGACAUAUCCAGUACUACCUAUCCAGUACCCAGCACAUCGCGAAAAAACCAGAAACCUCAAUUUAAUCAGGCUUCUAAUUUACCUAUCAAUUCAUAGGCAAUCUGGGGGAUGGGCAAAUAGCAAACAUACUGUCUGACACCAUAAGAAGACACUCGGCUAAAUCCAGAAUGUAAGAAAUUUAUAGGACAAACAACUCAUGAUCUUCAACAAAUAAAUGACACGCAAAUGCAGGGGGUGGGAGUAUUAUUCAACAAAAGAAACUAAAACAUGUAUCAAUGCAAUGCAAUAUGUGACCUAGUUUAUAAUUUAAACAAAUAAGCUGAAAAAAGACUUUA